GACGAACGCUGGCGGCGUGCCUAAUACAUGCAAGUCGAACGCACUCUCGUUUAGAUUGAAGGAGCUUGCUCCUGAUUGAUAAACAUUUGAGUGAGUGGCGGACGGGUGAGUAACACGUGGGUAACCUGCCCUAAAGUGGGGGAUAACAUUUGGAAACAGAUGCUAAUACCGCAUAAAACCUAACACCGCAUGGUGUAGGGUUGAAAGAUGGUUUCGGCUAUCACUUUAGGAUGGACCCGCGGUGCAUUAGUUAGUUGGUGAGGUAAAGGCUCACCAAGACCGUGAUGCAUAGCCGACCUGAGAGGGUAAUCGGCCACACUGGGACUGAGACACGGCCCAGACUCCUACGGAGGCAGCAGUAGGGAAUCUUCCACAAU
rnacentral:rRNA from 1 species